ACGAACGCUGGCGGCGUGCCUAACACAUGCAAGUCGAGCGAUGAAACCCUCGGGUGGAUAGCGGCGGACGGGUGAGUAACACGUGGGUAACCUGCCUCAAAGAGGGGGAUAGCCUCCCGAAAGGAGAUUAAUACCGCAUAACAUUAUUUUUUCGCAUGAAGAGAUAAUCAAAGGAGUAAUCCGCUUUGAGAUGGACCCGCGGCGCAUUAGCUAGUUGGUGAGGUAAUGGCUCACCAAGGCAACGAUGCGUAGCCGACCUGAGAGGGUGAUCGGCCACAUUGGAACUGAGAUACGGUCCAGACUCCUACGGGAGGCAGCAGUGGGGAAUAUUGCGCAAUGGGGGAAACCCUGACGCCAGCAACGCCGCGUGGGUGAAGAAGGCCUUCGGGUUGUAAAGCUCUGUCUUCUGGGACGAUUAAUGACGGUACCAGAGGAGGAAGCCACGGCUAACUACGUGCCAGCCGCUGC
rnacentral:rRNA from 1 species